AGUGAACGCUGGCGGUAGGCCUAACACAUGCAAGUCGAACGGCAGCACAGUAAGAGCUUGCUCUUACGGGUGGCGAGUGGCGGACGGGUGAGGCAUACAUCGGAAUCUACUUUUUCGUGGGGGAUAACGUAGGGAAACUUACGCUAAUACCUCAUCCGACCUACGGGUGAAAGCAGGGGAUCUUCGGACCUUGCGCGAUUGAAUGAGCCGAUGUCGGAUUAGCUAGUUGGCGGGGUAAAGGCCCACCAAGGCGACGAUCCGUAGCUGGUCUGAGAGGAUGAACAGGCAGACGGGAAGUGAGGCAGGGUCGAGACACUGAGGGUAGGAAGCAGGGGGGAAUAUUGGGCAAGGGGGGAAAGGCGGAUAUAGCAAAACGGGGGAAAGGAAGAAGGAGUGACGCUGGGAGAGCGAUGAUGGUGUGAAAGAAGAAAAGCCCGGUAAUAAGGGGCGGUAAUGACGGUACCUAAAGAAUAAGCACCGGCUAACUACGUG
rnacentral:rRNA from 1 species